UACGUAGGAUGCAAGCGUUGUUCGGAAUUACUGGGCGUAAAGAGUACGUAGGCGGUCUGGCAAGUCUGAUAUUAAAGACUGGAGCUUAACUCCAGGACUGUAUCGGAAACUGCCAAACUAGAGGACAAUAGAGGAAGUCGGAAUUCUCAGUGUAGCGGUGAAAUGCGUAGAUAUUGGGAAGAACACCAGUGGCGAAAGCGGACUUCUGGGUUGUUACUGACGCUGAGGUACGAGAGCGUGGGGAGCAAACGGG
rnacentral:rRNA from 1 species